UGCACUACUUCUGCACUGUGUUCAACCAUCCAGUGAAUAAUAAGUGCUGCUGUGAAGAGCACAAUUCUCAGACUGAAUGUUGAACAUCAGAUAGUUUCUCCUGUUGAUUUAAACCUUGUUGUACAGAUGGAACAUUGGCUGUGGAUUAUUCUUGCUGCUCUUUUCUUUGAGUGUAAAGGAGAAGACAAAGUGAACCAGCCAACAGGAGAUGUCAUCGCUGCUGAAGGACACACAGUUACACUUGGCUGCACAUUUGAGACCAGUGGCACAUAUGCCUAUCUGUUCUGGUACAAGCAAGAAGUAAAUGAUUUCCCAAAGUACAUUCUGAAGCGUUACUUAAAAACAGAAGAUAAUGCUGCCGAGUUCAAGAAAGACAGAUUUGAUGCUACAAUCAACAAGACAUCAGUUCCUCUGAAGAUCCAGAAGCUUCAGCUGUCUGACUCUGCUGUGUACUACUGUGCUCUGCAGCCCACAGUGACAGGAAACACCAGAACUCUGUACACAAACCUUUGGAGCAAAGACAACACAAUACUCCACAACAUCCACCAGAGGGAGUCACUCUGAGUUCUGAAGCAUUUGGCUGAAUAUGAGCAGAUAAUAUUUCCAGAAAUACUUUAGAGUUCAUCCUGCUGCUUUUAUCAGCAGUCACAUCAUCAAUAAAUACAAUGGAACCAGUUCCAUUGGCAGCCAUACAUGUCCACGCCAUAACACUACCACCAUCAUGUUUCACUGAUGAGGUGGUGUGCUUUGGAUCAUGAGCAGUUCCUUCCCUUCUCCAUACUCUUC